ensembl:lncRNA
GUCAGAGUUAGGUCAAUGGAAUCCAACUAGAGCCUUAAGAGUCAGUGUUAGGUCAAUGGACUCCAACUUUAGCCCUAGCGGUCAGUGUUAGGUCAAUGGACUCCUACUAGAGCCUUAAGAGUCCGUGUUAGGUCAAUGGACUCCUACUAGAGCCUUAAGAGUCAGUGUUAGGUCAAUGGACUCCUACUAGAGUCUUAAGAGUCAGAGUUAGGUCAAUGGACUCCUACUAGAGCCUUAAGAGUCAGUGUUAGGUCAAUGGACUCCUACUAGAGUCUUAAGAGUCAGUGUUAGGUCAAUGGACUCCUACUAGAGCCUUAAAGAGUUAAACAUGAAUCUAUCACUUCUUUUCAACGUGACUUAAUCUUUUCAACAGUGAAAUUGUUGAAUAUUUUUGUAAAACGAACGCAAUGUGGUCAUGGCCGUCUUGCAAACGUAAAAUUAAAACGUAGAUAAAACAUUUUUUUUUUUUUUUGUGAAUUUGUGUCAUUUUAUUUAUGAUUAUGACCAUGAUCGUUACAUGAUGUUUGUAGCAUGAAUUACAUUAAUAUAUUUAUGUGCUACAGAUAUGUAUAUGGUUUUCUAUAUUUCAUUUUCAAAGCUUUACUGUAUUUAAACUUCACAGGAAAUAGCACAACAACAACAACAACAACGCCAUGAUGGUCAUCACACACAAAGCUGCAACUUUGUUUGCAAGAAGUAAAUGAAAC